rnacentral:rRNA from 1 species
AACGCGAAGAACCUUACCAAGGCUUGACAUAUAGCGAAAAGUGGCAGAGAUGUCAUGUCCGCAAGGGCGCUAUACAGGUGGUGCAUGGUUGUCGUCAGCUCGUGUCGUGAGAUGUUGGGUUAAGUCCCGCAACGAGCGCAACCCUCGUUCUGUGUUACCAGCAUUAAGUUGGGGACUCACAGGAGACUGCCGGGGUCAACUCGGAGGAAGGUGGGGAUGACGUCAAAUCAUCAUGCCCCUUAUGUCUUGGGCUGCACGCAUGCUACAAUGGCCGGUACAAAGUGCUGCGAGAUCGUAAGAUUGAGCGAAUCACAUAAAGCCGGUCUCAGUUCGGAUUGAGGUCUGCAACUCGACCUCAUGAAGUCGGAGUUGCUAGUAAUCGUAGAUCAGCAACGCUACGGUGAAUACGUUCCCGGGUCUUGUACACACCG